UGACUAAUGAUGUUAAUAUGAAAACUCAUUAAAAAUUAAAAUUAGUUUAGAUCAUUUAAAUACUUUGAUCUCGAAGCGUUAACUGUAUAACCUAUAUUUAGUUGACUGUCUAACCUUUAUCGAGUUUAAUACUUGCUUAAACUUAUAUUUUAAUAUCUUAAAAAAGCAUAUACUGAAUAUUUAGAAGUAAGAUGAUACGUCAACAAAUAAUAGUUAUAGUGUGCAUGAUUUUCAUUGUAAGCAUCGCAGAAAGUAACAAAGAAGAUCUCAGGAGAGGCGUUCGCUGUCGUUAUGGCGAAUGUCAACAAUAUAAUUAUGAUACCGAGGUAUGGUGUUACGCAAGAAAUGGUCUAUCUCAAAGUUUCUUACCACAACGAUGUGAAGAUUACCAUCAUUGCUAUGGGUUAGAUUGUAUAUAAAGUAGUAUGU